rnacentral:tRNA from 1 species
AAAGAGAUCAUGUAUGGAAAAAGCUGCUAACUUAUUUCUAAAGCGGUUAAAUUCCGUUUGUCUCUU